rfam:Glycine soja cultivar W05 scaffold203_29, whole genome shotgun sequence.
UAACCAUGGUUUGGACAACUUCUCUAUAGUUCCUUGAAUUGCUCCUAGGCUUCAAAUAAGGAUUCUUGCUCAUAUUGGGUAAAAUUCCCAAUUUCUCUUAUUAGCUG